AUGCGCAUGUGUAGUCUUGGUUAAACAGGUUGAUUCUUCACAUGGAUCAGAAGCAACCAGCAAUGAACUCCUGAAAUCUUUGUUUACUGCCUUUGAGGAACCUUUGUACCCUUGCCGUUUCUCCAUGAGGUGUGUCCCCAGAUCACUUUCUGGAUGGCAGGCAAUGGCCGCUAGAAGGUUAGUUUGUGUUUCAUGGAAUGGAAGAAAAGAUGAGGAAUGCCUCUGGUUUAGAGAAGGAGCCACAUUAUAACAGAAGAGAACAAUGACACACAAAAAUCAGGAGUACUUCCUUCAGAAGAAAGGCAGCUGGAGCCUUUGAAAUUGACAUAGUUUUAGUCAAAAAGAAGAAAAGAAAGAUCUCCAAAAUAUACAAUUCCAUACAUGCAAGAGAAGUGAAGACAUGUGAUGAUAUUUUUCCAGCUGAAGGCCU
rnacentral:lncRNA from 1 species